GGCCUUCGGGUCCGCAUUGUAAUUUGUAGAGGAUGCUUUGGGUGAAACGCCAGUCUAAGUUCCUUGGAACAGGACGUCAUAGAGGGUGAGAAUCCCGUAUGUGACUGGAAAUGUUAACCUAUGUAAAGCUCCUUCGACGAGUCGAGUUGUUUGGGAAUGCAGCUCUAAAUGGGAGGUAAAUUUCUUCUAAAGCUAAAUAUUGGCGAGAGACCGAUAGCGCACAAGUAGAGUGAUCGAAAGAUGAAAAGCACUUUGGAAAGAGAGUUAAAAAGCACGUGAAAUUGUUGAAAGGGAAGCGCUUGCAAUCAGACUUGUUUAAACUGUUCGGCCGGUCUUCUGACCGGGUUACUCAGUUUGGGCAGGCCAGCAUCAGUUUCGGCGGCCGGAUAAAGGCUCUGGGAAUGUGGCCUUCACUUCGGUGAAGGUGUUAUAGCCCAGGGUGUAAUACGGCCAGCCGGGACUGAGGUCCGCGCUUCGGCUAGGAUGCUGGCGUAAUGGUUGUAAGCGAC
rnacentral:rRNA from 1 species